UCCAGGACCCUUGACGCCCAACGUGAAGCCCUUUGGGUCAGGGUCUGAUGGAACAUUUCUUUCACAAGGAAGUCUCUCAAGCAUAGGAUCGAGGCUUCUCUGGACAGAAGAGAGAAGAUCCUCAUUGUGAUCUCCACAGAGUCACCCACCUGCGAGAUUGAUCUGCUGAAGCAACAAGAAUAACAAUAAUGGAGCCUCUGGUCUGGAGCCAAGCACUAAGCAGAUCCUGGGCAGCUGCUCUCUACCCAGUCUCACAAAACCAGAGGAAGGAGGCCUACGAGGAGCUCUAACCCAGGCAGUAUCUUAGAAUGUACAGCCUUGGUGUAUCUACUCAUCAAGCUAUCUGAGCAGACCUGGUGGAACCUCUGAUGUCCUGGAAUCUCAGCAGGAUGCAAUGAACACACAGACGUCAGAGGCUUAUCAAUUUGUUCUCC